GUUGGCCGUGGCGGUGCCCACCGCCCUGCUGCUCCUGCUUCUCGCCGCCUUUUCCCUCCUGAUCGUCACCCGCCAUCGGGCAGCUGUCAAGGCCAAAGCUCUCCGCGAAGAGGGGCUUGGGCAGCGCAGCCCCAUCUACAAGGGCAGCCUGGAGUCGGUGCCCUCCACCGCCGGGGACACCCAACCCCUCGUGAUGUGAGCUCAGGAGGAAAGAGACCCUCCACCUGCCUUCCGGGCUUCUUUCGAGAUUCAGCCUCUUCUUCUGUCUUGGGAUGAUGGGAUCUCACCGACGCAGAAUCUCUUUGGGGUGUUAAUUGCCUUUGAUUUUGAGAAUGGGGGAGUUUGGCUUGCGGAAGGGAGACCUUUCCUCUUGGCUGGCCUGACCAGGAGGCAGCCCAAGGGGCAACAAGAGGGCCAGGAGCCACCCAGUGCGGGCAGGCAGGAGCUUCACAGGAAAGAGGGUCCGUGCAGUGGCCUCCCCUUUGCAAGGAAAGAGUUGAGCGGCACAUCAAGGAAGAGCGAGCGAGCGAGCGAGCUGGGAUCACAACCGUCCCUGCCUCUUCCCCUCCAGCACUUUUUUGGAUCAAAAUAAAAAAUAGCGGGAUGUUGC